rnacentral:rRNA from 1 species
GAUGAACGCUAGCGAUAGGCUUAACACAUGCAAGUCGAGGGGCAGCAUGGUCUUAGCUUGCUAAGACUGAUGGCGACCGGCGCACGGGUGCGUAACGCGUAUGCAACUUGCCUCACAGAGGGGGAUAACCCGUCGAAAGACGGACUAAUACCGCGUACACUUGGGAUAGGGCAUCCUGACCCAAGGAAAUGAAAUUCGCUGUGAGAUAGGCAUGCGUCCCAUUAGCUAGUUGGUGAGGUAACGGCUCACCAAGGCGACGAUGGGUAGGGGAACUGAGAGGUUGAACCCCCACACUGGUACUGAGACACGGACUAGACUCCUACGGGAGGCAGCAGUGAGGAAUAUUGGUCAAUGGGCGAGAGCCUGAACCAGCCAAGUCGCGUGAAGGAUGACUGUCUUAUGGAUUGUAAACUUCUUUUAUACGGGAAUAACAAGAGUCACGUGUGGCUCCCUGCAUGUACCGUAUGAAUAAGCAUCGGCUAACUCCGUG